UACGGGGGGGGGCAAGCGUUCGUUCGGAAUUACUGGGCGUAAAGGGCGCGUAGGCGGCCAACUAAGUCAGACGUGAAAUCCCUCAGCUUAACUGGGGAACUGCGUCUGAUACUGGAUGGCUUGGAUUCGGGAGAGGAAUGCGGAAUUCCAGGUGUAGCGGUGAAAUGCGUAGAUAUCUGGAGGAACACCGGUGGCGAAGGCGGCAUUCUGGACCGACAUUGACGCUGAGGAGCGAAAGCCAGGGGAGCAAACAGG
rnacentral:rRNA from 1 species